GGGUCGCUAGCUCAACUCGGCAGAGCAGGGGACUCUUAAUCCCAAGGUUCGGGGUUCGAUUCCCCGGCGACCCA
rnacentral:tRNA from 2 species